rnacentral:tRNA from 1 species
GCGACUGUAGCCAAGUGGUAUGGCAUACGACUUUUAAUCGUAAAAUCGUCGAGUUCAAUUCUCACCAGUCGCA